rnacentral:piRNA from 1 species
UGUCAACUGGCAUAGAAAGUCCACAGUUGC